AUGCCUCUUCUUGCUCCAGCCUCCAUGCCAGUGAGCUCUAGGCCCACCAGCCACGAAAUCGACACAAGUUUCGGAAAAAGAGAGUAAGAUCACAAAGAAAACGAGGAAAUAUCUCUUUUUCAGUUUUUUUGGAAACGUACGUGCUUAGCUGCACGAAAAAUUGCACAGCAAAUAAAAGUGCUAUUAUGUGGUCACCGUGUCAACUGUGGUCCAUGCUCUGGUCUUUUUAUAGAAGGGCUUAAUAGGCUACACACUCAAUGCUGCUUAGCAGAUUUGAGGCCCUAACCAUCCAUCAUAUCAACAAGAUAUGUUGCAAGUUUGGCUUGUGCUGCGAUUAACCUGUCAUCAACAAUAUCAGUAUCAGCUCUUGGAUAAACAGCAUCCCGUUUGAUUAAAGAAACUACCUAUGUCGGUGUGAUUUGCGUCUCUCUUCUUCCCCUUUCUUGAAAUGUCCUCGUGUACACCCAUGCGAGUGUGGGGGUAUUCACGAGGGCCCGGGCCCCCCUCCCUUUUUUCGUAUCCUGCGGUCCUACCUGGUGAUUCAACUUUCCUACGGAUGGAGCACUAAUGGAUGCCUGUCCAUAUUUCCCAGGAUUAAAGACAUGUCUAGGAGAGAGUCGCCCAGAGCGAAUGGAGCGGAGAUUCACCUCGGCGAUCGUGACGGCAGUCAAUAAACAGGAUGAAAAGAAAAAAGAAAAACCUUGAUGUCCAAUAAUGCCUAGAAAUCGUUUGAUAUAGUGGACAGUCUAUUGACCUUAAUACAAAGUUACACUCU